CUUGAGGCAGCCUCGGUGACCAGGCGUCCGGUGGGAUGCAGCGGGGAGAGCCGCAGACGGCGGCUUGGUCCAGCUCCUGCCCAGACGGUCAAUGAAUCAAAGCCGGGAAGGCUCUACCUGUCAGCAGGGGCUCUCCUGGCCCUGUCCUCCAGGCUCCAAGCCUCUGUGCCCAGUGGGCCAGCCGGAACUCUCUCAGCUCCCCAGAGUAACGGUGUGUCACAGGUCACCAUGGGGUGAACAGCUUGCUCCACCAUGGAACAAUGAUGUGCUGCCUUACCACAGGCCCAGAAGCAUCAAUGCCAACCGACCAUGGACUGAAAGUUCCACAUCUGCAAGCCAAAAAAGCCUUUCCUCUCUUUAACUUGAUUGUCUCAGGUAUUUUGCUAUAGUAACUGAAACAGACUAGCACAGGCACUAAUAUACCCACUCAGAACUUUCCAGCACCUCAGUGCCACCUGUGUCAAAUGUGUUCAAAUUGGCUUCCACUUGGCCGGAGGUCGUCCCUUCCACUCUAUGUCCCUGACACCACCCUACAUUUCCCUGUGUAACAACAGCUUUUGUGCUCCUCUUCAAGUUUCCAGGGCUGAUCAAACUACCUCCUCACUUCAAAAGCCUUCAAAAUUCCUGCACAAACUCUAAACAGUGUAAGGUCAACUCCUUUUUGUAGACUAAAGCCCAGGCCCCAGCUUCAGGGCUUGCUUUGUUUGUGCAACCUGGGUCACUGUGCAGGGACCUCAAACAAGUGUUCUGAGCUUGUUCAUGGUCAUUGUUGUUGUCUUGAAAUGCUUGCUUUGGAACAAGGGGCCUGGUGUUUCCAUUUUGCAAAUCGUGUGGCUUGUCCCGGUCAUUUUAACCUUGUGGGCUCACCUCUUUUUUCAUGUGGCUUCCCUCUGGCUAUUA